GGGCCACUCCUUUGGGAUUCGAUUAAGCCAUGCGAGUCGAGAGGGUUCGGCCCUCGGCAGACUGCUCAGUAACACGUGGAUAACCUACCCUUAGGUGGAGGAUAAUCUCGGGAAACUGAGAAUAAUACUCCAUAGAUCUAGGAUGCUGGAAUGUACUUAGAUUGAAAGCUCCGGCGCCUAAGGAUGAGUCUGCGGACUAUCAGGUAGUAGUCAGGGUAAAGACCUGACUAGCCUACGACGGAUACGGGUUGUGAGAGCAAUAACCCGGAGACGAUAUCUGAGACACGAUAUCGGGCCCUACGGGGCGCAGCAGGCGCGAAAACUUCACACUGUGCGAAAGCACGAUGAGGGAAUCCCAAGUGCCAACUCGUAAGAGUUGGCUGUUUUUCUGUCUAAAAAACAGAGAGAGUAAGAGCUGGGUAAGACGGGUGCCAGCCGCCGCGGUAAUACCUGCAGCUCAAGUGGUGGCCACUAUUAUUGGGCCUAAAACGUCCGUAGCCGGUUUAAUAAAUGCCUGGGUAAAUCGUGUAGCUUAACUAUACGAAUUCCAGGUAGACUGUUAGACUUGAGACCGGGAGAAGCUAGAGGUACUCCUGGGGUAGAGGUGAAAUUCUGUAAUCCUAGGGGGACCACCAGUGGCGAAGGCGUCUAGCUAGAACGGGUCUGACGGUGAGGGACGAAGCCCUGGGGCGCAAACCGGAUUAGAUACCCGGGUAGUCCAGGGUGUAAACGCUGCUUGCUUGAUGUUAGUUGGGCUCCGAGCCCAAUUAGUGUCGGAGAGAAGUUGUUAAGCAAGCUGCCUGGGAAGUACGGCCGCAAGACUGAAACUUAAAGGAAUUGGCGGGGGAGCACAGCAACGGGUGGAGCGUGC
rnacentral:rRNA from 1 species